CUCUCUCUUUCUCUCUCCCGCCUCACCUCCUCUCUCUGACUCUUUCAGCCAACGGCAGUAGCAAGCGUAGGACUCCACAGAAUACCUCGCCGGGAUCUAGAUCUUCGUCGGUGUGUUCUCGACUCCACGACUAACGGCACGGGCGUCAUCUAGCCGCCGGCGCGUCCUCGACUCUACCAGCUUCGGGCGGCAGAAGGAGGGGAGGCACGCCACGGCCGAGCAGCAGCAGCUGCCGACCAUGGCUAGGACGGAGAGCAGGUGUCCACGGCUGAGCCUUCUGCUCCUUCCCCCAUUCGUUUCUACCUUCAGUUUCUAUUUCCUAAGUUUGGACAUGGAUUUACUGAGGAAAAGAAUCACGGGAAUACAGGUGGAUUGGAGAAGUCAGGCGACCAUGAAAGGAAAGAUUGUUUGGACGCACACUCCUAUUUGGUGAAAUGCAGAUUGGAAGAUGGGAGCUUGCUAUCUGAACAGAAUACGAGAAUGGAUAUCGAAGAGUGAGACAACUUGCUGAUAAAAUGAUCAAGUACAAUACCUUGAAACCUCCUGGAUUUUCUUUGGAUUGCCACGUUGUUCCCUUUCACAUAGGGAUUGAUAAUGAAACACUAGACGGUGUUCUUGCACUGGUUUUUUCAUAGUGUAUCUUGGAUGUGGAAUUGGGAGAAUCGCCGUAUUUGGUUUUAGUUCCUAGCCCGCAUCUCUUCCUGUCGUUCCUACGCGCUGUGUGUUAUAGGCUUAGUGGUCACAAAUAUUUGCAGUUUAACAGUCAGUUUCACAACUUUCAUGAAUGCAUCAAAUAAAUUUCAAUGUUGGCAUUAACUUUCUGUUAAGAUGAAUUACCUACUGUACAUUACAAUGGGGGCUGCUGAUAUCAGCUAAUUGUAUUAUUACUUUUGAACCUUGCUUACUGUUAAUUGCAGGUUUUGGAAAGAAAAGGAAAAUAGGGAAUCAAAUAAUGGCUUAGCAUAUAUUUUGUGGAAGGUGAUCCGGGCUACAUAUCUUCAUCUUAUGAACAUGAAAUGUGUGGUCCUGAUGUUGAUAAGCUGGAUAAUGUCCUAUCAGAUGCAUCGAGAGCCUCCAACAUUGUUGCAUUGUUGUACCGUGCUCUCUAAAUUACAUGAAGCUGAAAGAUCAAAUUGGUAGAAGUCAUUUCCGUAUUGGUACUACAUAAGCAUGGGCAUGGGUCAUUGAUGCUUGGAAGAAAACACACUCGGGCUUUUUAUUUAGUUGUUUUGUCAUCCUAUGUCCUACAAAGGAGCUCUACUCAGUAUAGUUAUAUAUUUUUUCGGUCAUGGUAGUAAUAUUUACAUUUGAU